UACAGAGGUCCCAAGCGUUGUUCGGAUUCACUGGGCGUAAAGGGUGCGUAGGCGGCCGGGUAAGUCUGAUGUGAAAUCCCACAGCUUAACUGUGAAACUGCAUUGGAUACUAUCCGGCUCGAGGAAUGGAGGGGAGACUGGAAUACUUGGUGUAGCAGUGAAAUGCGUAGAUAUCAAGUGGAACACCAGUGGCGAAGGCGAGUCUCUGGACAUUUCCUGACGCUGAGGCACGAAAGCCAGGGGAGCAAACGGG
rnacentral:rRNA from 1 species